rnacentral:rRNA from 1 species
UGUCAAUAGCCUAACGGCUGAACCAGCAACUUGGAGGAAUGUAUGGCAAUAGCUGGUUGCAUUAACAAAAAGUUAGUGUAAGAUCGACUCUGUCGAAUAAAAUUCUAGGUAGAAUUAUGAUAAUGACAUUAUCUAUCUAUGUGUCUUGACCAAAUUACGUGCCAGCAGUCGCGGUAAUACGUAAAAGACUAGUGUUAUUCAUCUUUAAUAGGUUUAAAGGGUACUUAGACGGUAUAUAAAGCCCCCAUAAGGGAACUAAUAAACUAGAGUUUGAUGUAAGGAAGUAUGAAAGUACUGUUGGUGUAGAGAUAAAAUUCUAUCAUACCAAAUAUGGCACAGGUUUAGGCGAAAGCAUCUUCUUAUGCAAUAACUGACGUUGAAGGACGAAGGCUUUGUGUCUCGAACAGGAUUAGAUACCCCAGUAGUCUAAGCAGACAAUGAUGAAUGUCAUAGUAUAGAUUUAAUAUAAUUUAUUCUAUAAAUGAAAGUGUAAGCAUUCCACCUCAAGAGUAAUUUGGCAACAUUGGAACUGAAAUCAUUAGACCGUUUCUGAAACCAGUAGUGAAGUAUGUUGUUUAAUUAGAUUCUCCGCAAAAAACCUUACCACAAUUUGAAUUGUUAUACAAUGCUAUCUUACAAGCGCUGCACGGCUGUCUUCAGUUAAUGUCGUGAGAUUUUGGUUAGUUCCAUUAAAUUAACGUAAACCCUUACUUUAUUUUUAUAUAGAGUAGUUCACCGCUAUAUUGGAUAUGAUAAAAGGGACUAAGACAAGUCAUCAUGGCCUUAAUAUUGUGGGCUAUAGACGUGCCACAUAUGCCUUACAAAGGGAUGCGAAAUUGCGAAAUUAAGCU